UCUGCCAGGUCCGACCGGCGAACCCCCGCCACUUUCGUCUAGAACCACUCCUGAGAUCCUAGCUCGACGACUCCCUCGCCAUUUGUCCGCUCUGCCCUCGGCGGUCCUAAAGGGGCGUCGCGACGCCUGCAGCCUGUGCGGUUACCCGAGCGACGCCUACCCCACUCCCCCCCCCCCCAUGACACCUGGUCGCCAUGGAGGCACCCAUACGCCGCCCGCCGCUGCAGUCUGCCGGCACCCGGCCAAUCACUCGCGGAGGUCGAACUGAUUGGAUUACACCACAUCGUGAAAACAUCCAGUGAAAUAAAACAUUGAAAAUACUUACAGAAA